UAGUACACUGUGUGUUAACUAACUUUUUAUUUUAUUUGAAAAAAUAAACUGGGGCUCUGGGGUGACUGAGUGGGCUAAGCAUCCGACUCUUGAUCUAGGCUCAGGUCAUGAUCUCACGGUUCGUGGUUUCGAGCCUGAAGUCGGGCUUUUCAGAGCCUGCUUGCGAUUCUGUCUCUCCCUCUCCCUGCCCCUCCCCUGCUCGUGCUCUCUCUCUCUCUCUCUCUCAAAAUAAAUAAACCACCUUAAAAAAAGCAAUUGAAUAAAACAAAGCAAAACGAAACCUCCAUUGCAUCAUGAACCAGAAAGGAGGCAGGAGGGCUUACCGGUGACUUAGCAGUCUUGGCAUGCGUCUGAAAAAAUUUAAAGACACCCACUCUGACUCUUAGAUAUCGUUACAAACAGGGACUAUGCAUGAUGACACCACUAGCUGGAGUUGUACGUCAUCUUUCUUUGGAGUCUAAGACAGUACCUCAGGUCUAAGUCAGCUAAUCUGUCCCACUCACACUUUCAGCAUUUCUGGAAGAACAUGUAGGAAGGAAGUCUCUCAGAAGCUUUCAGAGGGACCAAGCUGACAUUUUGACAGAAUAUGUUUUUUAAAGCAUGGACGAGGCAAAGAGUGAGGGAGCAGCCAAUAGGCAGCUUCAUAAAAAAAAAAAAAAAAAAAAAACCAAAAAUCCAUGGAAGUGAAUAUAAAUGGUAAGAAAUGCAAUACAACGAGAGAACGUUCUUCCCUUUUUAUGAAUCUGUUAAGCAUACUCACCCUAGUGUUCCCACACACAGAGAGACUGGGGUCAUUUUCUUCACCACAGCGUCUGUUCUCCCAGUAGCUCAAACAAUCACGGGAAGCCCGAUUUUGAAAAUCACAGCAACUUUAUUUUGCACAUUUCACAAAAAUGCUUUAUACUCAGAGUACUGAACCCUUUAAACAAAAAACGAAAAUGAAGGGCACUCGGGUGGCUCAGUCGGUUAAAGCCUCCGACUCCUGGUUUUAGCUCAGGUCACAAUCUCACGGUUCGCGAGUUCAAGCCUCGCGUCGGCCUCUGUGCUGAUGGUGUGGACCCUGCUUGGGAUUUUUUCUCGCCAGCAGGCACCAUGGGGCACCCACACUGCUCUGGUCCUGCCUCCCCUCCCUCUGUGUCUUCACCUGCAAUGGUUUCUCUGAUUUUCCAGCUUCUAGUCAUUCUCCAGGACCCUUCUCAAGCGUCUUUUCCUUUGGGGACGCUUGUCUGAUGUCAAGUCGCACUAAACUACUCUCUGUGUCCCUGCUCUGGGCUCCUGCAACCUGAUGUGUCCCCAGCUCAGAUCCAACCACCCCGAACUGGUGGCCGGCUCCCCUUCCAACCCCCAGCCGGUUUGCCAAGUGUUUCAAUUUAUUUGUCUCUGAUUUGCUAGCACCCCACAGGAAGCUUGGAGAGAAAUAGUCAUUCAAUAAAUACUUGUUGGCUGAACUGCUUACGAACCAACUUGAUUCUUUUUUCUUCCAUAAAGAUACAAAGCCUCCCCAAACACUAUGGAGCAGGCUGUGUCCGUGUGGCUGGUGGGACCUCAGACAAAGCAGAUGACAAAAAUAUCUUACAGGAGGUGUUUUCUUAAGGGAGACCAUGCAUCCAACACGGAAACUCCAGCCUGGUUUUCCACAGGCGAAGUGAGGGAUGGAGAAGUCUGCACGGUGAUGCUCCGCGACCUUCAGGACACACGGUCAGAGCACGAACAGGAAGACACUGCACAUCGCCCCGGAGGAUUGUGGUGUCGCUUGGAGAACGUCUGUGUGCGACCCCGAUGUCAAAGCAUCCUGCCAGGGUAAGAGCAAGGCGCACUCGCCAGCUUGGGGGAGCCCAAGGCCUCGUGUGGCGCCUGUUUGCACUUUUCCCACCAGCCUCUGCCUCCCUUUCUGCCACACCUCCCCGGUCGCAAAGUGUGCCUCCCUCGUUAAUUUCCACAAGAAAUCAACAAGAUGGGAAGAAGACUUUUGGUUUCAUUUCGCUUUGUUUCUUCGUAAAUGGUUUUGUUGACACGUAAUUGCACAUGAUUCACCCGUUUAACGUGUACAGUUCAGGGCGUUGGGUGUAUUCACACACGUGUGCAACCAGCACACCACCAUCUGUUUUAGAGGAUUUUUGUCACCUCAAAAAAACCUCCGAACCCUUUAGCUAUUAUCCCCCAACCUUCCUCCAACCCCCCGCCCCAAACCCCACCCCCAACCUAGUCGUAAGCAACCAUGAACCUACUUCCUGUUCCUGUAGAUUUCCCCGUGCUGGACUUUCCUGCGAAUGGAAUCCUAGAACAUGUGAUCUUUUCAUGACUGGUUCCUGUCACGCAUCAUGAACAGUUACGUGGUUCAUCCACGUUGUAUCACGUAUCAGCACUUCGUUCCUUUGUAUGAUGGAAUAAUACUCUGUUGUAUACUUUGGCA